UAACACGGGGGGAGCAAACGUUGUUCGGAAUUACUGGGCGUAAAGGGCGCGUAGGCGGCCCAGCAAGUGGUGUGUGAAAUGCCCUGGCUCAACCAGGGAACUGCGCAUCAAACUGCUGGGCUUGAGGGCAGUAGAGGAAGCUGGAAUUCCUGGUGUAGCGGUGAAAUGCGUAGAUAUCAGGAGGAACACCGUUGGCGAAGGCGAGCUUCUGGGCUGUUCCUGGCGCUGAGGCGCGAAAGCUGGGGGAGCAAACAGGAUUAGAUACCCUGGUAGUCCCAGCUGUAAACGGUGAACACUAGGUGUGGGGGGUGUCGACCCUUUCCGUGCCGUAGCUAACGCAUUAAGUGUUCCGCCUGGGGAGUACGGUCGCAAGGCUG
rnacentral:rRNA from 1 species